GAUUUAAAUUAAAAAAAUUAAGGCUCAGAUUGAACGCUGGCGGCAUGCCUUACACAUGCAAGUCGAACGGCAGCGCGGACUUCGGUCUGGCGGCGAGUGGCGAACGGGUGAGUAAUACAUCGGAACGUGCCCUGUUGUGGGGGAUAACUAGUCGAAAGAUUAGCUAAUACCGCAUACGACCUGAGGGUGAAAGCGGGGGACCGCAAGGCCUCGCGCAAUAGGAGCGGCCGAUGUCUGAUUAGCUAGUUGGUGAGGUAAAGGCUCACCAAGGCGACGAUCAGUAGCUGGUCUGAGAGGACGAUCAGCCACACUGGGGACUGAGACACGGCCCAGACUCCUACGGGAGGCAGCAGUGGGGAAUUUUGGACAAUGGGGGCAACCCUGAUCCAGCAAUGCCGCGUGUGUGGAAGAAGGCCUUCGGGUUGUAAAGCACUUUUGUCCGGAAAGAAAUCCUUUGGGCUAAUACCCCGGAGGGAUGACGGUACCGGAAGAAUAAGCACCGGCUAACUACGUGCCAGCAGCCGCGGUAAUACGUAGGGUGCGAGCGUUAAUCGGAAUUACUGGGCGUAAAGCGUGCGCAGGCGGUUUUGUAAGACAGGCGUGAAAUCCCCGGGCUCAACCUGGGAAUGGCGCUUGUGACUGCAAGGCUAGAGUGCGUCAGAGGGGGGUAGAAUUCCACGUGUAGCAGUGAAAUGCGUAGAGAUGUGGAGGAAUACCGAUGGCGAAGGCAGUCCCCCUGGGACGUGACUGACGCUCAUGCACGAAAGCGUGAGGGAGCAAACCAGGAUUAGAUACCUCUGGUCAGUCCACGCCCUAAACGAUGUCAACUAGUUGUUGGGGAUUCAUUUCUUCAGUAACGAAGCUAACGCGUGAAGUUGACCGCCUGGGGAGUACGGUCGCAAGAUUAAAACUCAAAGGAAUUGACGGGGACCCGCACAAGCGGUGGAUG
rnacentral:rRNA from 1 species